UACGGAGGGGGCAAGCGUUGUUCGGAUUUACUGGGCGUAAAGGGCGCGUAGGCGGGCGAUCAAGUCAGAGGUGAAAGGCCUGGGCUCAACCUAGGAACUGCCUUUGAAACUGAUUGUCUUGAGUCCGGGAGAGGAUGGCGGAAUUCCCAGUGUAGAGGUGAAAUUCGUAGAUAUUGGGAAGAACACCGGUGGCGAAGGCGGCCAUCUGGACCGGCACUGACGCUGAGGCGCGAAAGCGUGGGGAGCAAACAGGAUUAGAUACCCCCGUAGUCC
rnacentral:rRNA from 1 species